UGUCUCUCACUCUCUCUUCUCUCUAGUGCCGCACAUGGAGGUGUAAAAAAAAGGAUGUCAACCUGUAAUUAAUCUUUUUAAAACUCAAAAGAAACGUAUUUGUCUAUCUUUCAAAUCUUUUGUUCAUUCGGAUGUGGCCCUCGUCUAAUACAUCGUUCUGCGUUAGCUUAGCAUUCAAUGGUGUGGUUGAUUUAAAAGGAUCAUAAUGAUGUUAUUUUCUCUAAUAAAGUUAUGAAUAUUGAGCAAUUGAUGAAUCGAACGAAGUUUUUUCUUAAAAGUGGUUCUGCGUGAGUCAUGGAGGAAUCCUUAUAGUUCUAUGAGUGGGUUGUUGAACCUUUUGUUUAUCUUUUAAGAUAGCUCUUUGUACGGUUACCUAGUUUUUUUUCAGCGCUGUUAUACACACCGAAUAAUUAGCCAAUCAUGUGAAUUCUUGAUGCUAUCGGGAUAAAUCCUCUUGGGUUGUUUAGCAUUUUCCUUUUUUCUUUUUUAUAUCAAAAAUGCUAUUUAAAACGAAAAAUUGCUUCCCGACUGUUUCACGAUACAUGUGCAUGUAUGCUAAUGCCACUCACUAUUUUAGGAUUUUCCAUAUUUUUCUCCCCACCAACCCUGAUUUUGAUUGGUUUGUUUUCAUUCUUGAUAAAUUCGGGAUAAUUAUUGUCGUUGUGUAUAAGCAUGGCUCUUUUUGUAUCGAGGCUUUCUUAGUUUCUCUAUUAUUUGAGUUUUUGUAUUUAUGUUAUUUUUGUUGUCCCUUUGUUUUGGUUGUUUUAAUUUUCUUAAUCCUUUAAUGCAGUUAUCCCUAAUCUUAAUACUAGGUUCUCAGACUUUCUUUCAUUGCUUGUAUUUUUUUUUUCUAUAUUGGGAUUUGUGUGAGCACCUAGUGUACUCAUUCAUCAAUUUAAAAUAUAUGCAAUGCCUUUAAAAAAAAGGAGGAGAAUUGAUUUCCACUAUUGCAACUUUUUCACUCAAUUGGUGUAACAAAAAACAAUCUUUCAAACAAAAUUGAGGGAUUGGAUAACUUAACUUGCUUGUACUAAGGAUAGAAAGGAUUUUUUUUUUGGUUACAUAAGGAUAGAAAGGAUUGAAAUGGUGCAUCUUUUUUUUUUUUUUUUUUGGAAAGGAAAUUCUGCAUAUUAAAUAUCCUUUUCUUCAACUUAAAUCAAAUCCAAAGAAAUUUUUGGAAAAAUAACAAAAGCAUAUUGUUUUUGUUUUGCUUAACAUCACGCCUUGAUUAAUAUCAAAAGGGUGAUGAAAAAAAUAUUAGGAAACUGCACAAAUUAGAAGAAAAAAUAAAAUAAAUGCAACUACACUAUGAGCUCUAGAUUAGAGUGCAAUCAUUCAACUCAUUCACCCACUGCUCAAAAUCAUUUGCUUGUGAGGCCUUUUCAACGCCAACCACCGUGGCUACUUGGCUUCUAUUCUUGGCUAAUUUGUUAAGUAGGUCAACCAUGCCCCUCCUCCUCUUCAACCCUGGUGACACUGACUCACAACUUCCCUCCGAUGAAGAAGAAGAAGGCUCGGGUGAUUCCCUUUUCAAAACCACCUCCCUCUCUGGCUCAGAUGUAGACACAUCAGAGCCAAUGAGGUGGGGAAAAUUAAGCUUGGCCUUUCGGCCUCGCAUCUUAAAAGCAGCUUUGUCGUAAGCCAAAGCUGCUUCCUCCUCAGUCACAUACGUUCCAAGCCAAACUCUAGCACCAUUCUUUUUUGGAUCUCUUAUCUCAGCUGCGAACUUCCCCCAUGGCCUACGCCUCACUCCCUUGUACCGCUUCCAUACAGGAGGCAUGCUUACUUCACGCGCCUCUACAGUUGUGUCUAAAUCAUUGUCACUUUUAGGGCUUGGAAAAGGUUGAUGAGAUUUCAGCAUGCUAGAAUCAUCAAAAAGAAGGUAUUGUUGAAUGUGUUCCAAAUAUUCCAAAUCUGAGUCUUUGGUGGUUGAAGCCAUGUUUUGGAGGAAAGAGUAGUGGUAUUUUGGAUCUAAAGUCUACCGUUUGUGGAAGCAAUGAGACUUGUGGAUAUGGUGCUAUACUAACUUUAUUUAUAUAUUGCAACAAUUCUUGUUUAUGAAAUUGUUUAUUCAAAAACUAACAUUGAAACCGCGUGUGGUAUUUCAUUAUUUAAUCUAUAUAUUCCCUUAAGGUCAUUUCUGUGAAACUUCAUGAAUUUUUGAGUUGUGCCAAUGGUCAUCACUUUCAGUUGUUCAAUAAAUGUAUAACAAAACCCUUAUUUUUUUAUAUAUUUUUUAAUCUCUUCUCCCUUUGUUGAAUAUAAUUAGUUUAUUGCUUUUGGUUAUCACGCAUGGACAUUGUAACUUGUUUUAUAGCGAUUGUUUAGAUUCUUAAACUAAUAUGGGUGCGACUCUAGUGAUGGGUUGACAAUAAAUGAGUAUUUUCGCUUCGGUUCAACUUUGACAUUUGAUUUUUUUGUUGUGGUGGUCGGGGUUUGAACUCCAGACCCUACAUAUAUUAUGUAUUGUCUAUAUCAACCGAGUAAAAUUUACGAGAACAUUAAACAUUUGGUUCUAGUUGAUAUUAGGGGAAUUUAUGUUUUUCUUUUAAUUCAUUUGUUAUUGUCUUUUUUUAUGGCCUAGGCCCUUUUAUAUUCCUUAAAAAAAUUAUUGGUUUUAUGAAUAAACAGAAUUCAAAAACACGAAUGAAUUAGACUCCUACACGUGUAGUGAAUUAAAAUUCAAAUAUUUUUUUAUUUGCUAAUAAAAAUUUAGGGUCGAGAGAUUGUUAGUUCGGACGUAUUUUUUUAUCUCCCUCUAUUUAAAUUUAAAAGAUGUCUUUUUACCACUAAACUAAACAUUUGGAGUUAGUAAAAAUUCAAACUUUGAUUUAAAUAGAUAAUUAGUGUCUCAUACACCUCAAAUAGGAUUAUCUUGAAGGAAAAAAAAUGCUAGGAACAAAAAAUAAUAUCAGCUUUAUGGAUAAACCCAAUAGGAGUAUUUUAUUUUGGCAAUGAUAACGUUAGUAUUUUAUUUUGGCAAUGAUAACGUAUAAUGCACCAUUAGUAAAUGCAUUAUUAAAUGCAUUGUUGUAUACGGAUAAUAAUAUCUUCUAAUCAUCCCUAAAAAAAUAUAUCUUUUAAUCAUGAAACUUUAUCAAAUUAACAUUUAGUAUUAAAUGUAGCGUCACUUUAAAAGUGAUUACAUUACUGAGCACCAAUAACAAUAACAAUAACAAAUUAUUUAUUUUUAUUUUUUUUAAUAUGUCAAAAUAAAAUAUAUUAACCAAAGCAAAAAAAAUAUUUCUAGCACAAGAUGUGUUAGAGAAGUCUUCGAGAAAGUUACAAAGUUAGAAAACCAGGUCUAAAAAGAACAAAGCAAAAACAAAGAGGGAAACAUGCUAGGUAACAAACAAACAAGCAAUGAAGAUGAUUAAGUCUCCAAUAAUGGUAAUCGAAAUUGAAUGUAACAUAUGUCGAUUUUAACCACCAAAAAGUUUGAAUCUUAUUCUUUUAAUAUAAACUUUGUAAUUGAUCCUCCUUGUUUUGAAAAUAAACGUGUGUAUCUUUCUUUUCAAAUCACCCACACCAUAGAGAGCCAAAUAACCUUCAAAGCAAAUUUAUCUCAUCCGGUCCUGAACUCUUGAAAUUGUCACAGUCGUACAUUGCUUGCUUUACCUCUUCCAAUGAAAAAAGUUUAAUUAAAUCCCCUCUAUCCACCAAACUGAUCGAUUUAAAAUUAAGAUUAUUGUGUCUGAUAGUGGCACACGUGAUUUGGUGAAAGCUCUGCAACCUUUAGAAGGUGGGUAGACUUCAUAUGCUAUGUUGUCGCAUUUGGAUUGCACUUGAAAACACAUUACCGCUAACUCAUUGUUUAAUUUGAUUUUACUAUUGAUCUCCAAACAAAUGCACGAAAAUGUUGUGAGCCAAACUAAGUGGAAUACCUUCUUUGUUGAAGAGUGUACAAGAUCAUGGGAGUAACAACGGUUCAAUGCUUGAAGACCACAAAAAAGGAAGACGACACAUAUCCCCCUAAAUCCUUAAGACAUUAGAUAUAUGAACUACCUCUCUUACAUAUCCAACCUUUCAUCCAUUGAGAAGAGAUGUGAGACUUAACAACUAACACUUGAAAUCCAACAAUCUUCCCCUCAAGUGUGAGUUCCCACUUCUAUAAUAGGAUCCAACGACGGAUCCAACUCUCAUUCCCCACUAAGCCGAAUAUGGGCUCUAAUAUCACUUGUUGGAGAGUUUGGGGUCAAGUCAAUGCUCCAAGACUACAAGAGAUGGAGACGCCGCAUCUUCAUCUAUACCCUUAAGGUGAUGUAGGACUUGAUCACUCACGCUUGAAAUUCAAAAAUUGUUGUUAGUUGAAAAUAUAUACAUGUUGAAAAAGUCUUAGUUCCUUAGAAUUAUAAGGAAGAGGGAUAACAAGGCUAGAUACAGGAGCUCUAAGUCUUCGUACAAGAUACAUUACUUAGAAAUACUUUAAGUUUGUAUAUGACAUAUUAUUUUUUCUUAUAAUCUUGUCUUAGAAUGUUGUGAGAUGCAAUGAAAAUUAAUAAAGAUUGAUAGUGUUGGUUGAAAAUAUACAUAUUGAAAAUGUCUCGCAUUGUUUAUAAUUACAAAGAAAGUGGAAGACUAAAGCUAUAUAUAAGCGGGACUUCUAACUCACACUUGCUACACGAUCGACCUCAAAAUGGUUCAAAGGUGAACCUUAAAAAAAUAGCAUAUCUACUCCCCUUCUUCUUUUUUAAUAUCAAAUGAAACUAUUUUAUUAGGAAGAAGCUGAAAACUGAGUACAAAGACCAAACUAACUACAAUGAGUAAUCUAGAAGCCUCAAAACAAAAACCAAAGCUACCUAUAUGGAUACAAUACAUUAGAACAAUUAGCCAUUCGUAAAAAAGACAAGGCACUCCCCUUCUAUUUAUUUACCAAAUUCACUAUUUUACUCAAAAUUGUGGGGGUUUGCCUUUUGACGCUUUCUCGAAGUCAAUAUUAGAAGGACCAUUCCUUGUGAAUAAAGGCUAUUAUUUAUAUUUUGGGGUUACAUUUUCAAAACAAAUAUCUUGGUAACAAACAAAUGUAAAAUAAGUUUAAAUUGUGCAAACUUAGACAUAGUUUUCAUCAAUUUAACAAUAAAUCCAAAGAAAUGAGUGCUCUGUUGGAAAAAAAAAAUACAAUAAAGUCGUAGCUUUGCUUAAACAUCACCCAUCGAAGUUCAUCAGAGUAAUGAAAAAAAUGAUCUCAAACUAAGUAGGAGCAGCUACACUCACAGAAAAACUAUUUAACUUAGGAGCUGCGAAACAGAAAAAUUAAAAUGAUACAACCCUAGCUAAGAGAACCAAAUUAGAGAGCUAUCACUCAACUCAUUCACCCAUUGCUCAAAAUCAUUAGCAUGUGAUGAUGCCGUUUCAAUUUCAACCACCUUAGCUUGGCAUCUAUUCUUGGCUAGUUUGUUAAGUAGGUCAACCGUGCCCCUCCUCCUCUUUAACCUUGGUGACGAUGACUCACAACUUUCCUCCGAUGAAGAAGGCUCCGGUGAUUCCCGUUUCAAAACCACCUCCUUCUCUGGCUCUGGUGUAAACACAUCAGAGCCAAUGAGGUGGGGAAAAUUAAGCUUGGCCUUUCGGCCACGCAUCUUAAAAGCAGCUUUGUCGUAAGCCAAAGCUGCUUCCUCCUCAGUCACAUAAGUACCAAGCCAAACCCUAGCACCAUUCUUUUUUGGAUCUCUUAUCUCUGCCGCGAACUUCCCCCAUGGCCUACGCCUCACGCCCUUGUACCGCUUCCAUAUGGGAGGGGUGUUUACUUCACGCGCCUCUACAAUUGUGUCUGACUCAUUGUCACUUUUAGGGCUUGGAGAAGGUUGAUAAGAUGUUAGAAAGCUGGAAUCAUCAAAAAGAAGGUAUUGUUGAAUAUGUUCCAAAUAGGCAAAAUCUGAGUCAUUGGUGGUAGAAGCCAUGUUUAAUUUAGAUGAGAGAAUUAGUGGUGUUAAUUUAGAUCUAAGUUUUCGUUUGUGGAAGCACUGAGACUUGGGAAUAUGUGCUCUACUCACUACACUUAUAUAUAUAUAGCAACAACUCUUGUUUAUGAAAUUGUUUAUUCAAAAAUGAACAUUGAAACAGCGUGUGUUAUUUCAUUAUUUAAUCUAUAUAUUCCCUUAAGGUCAUUUCUGUGAAACUUCCUGAACUAAUUAGUUGUGCCAACGGUCAUCACUUUUUGUUGUUCAACAAAUGAAUAAAUCCCCUCUUUGUUGAAUAUUAUUAGUUUAUUCUGUUGAUAAUCUCGCGUACACAUUGUAAUUUUUUAUCAAGUAUUAUAAGAUGUUGUUCCUGCAAGCAUAAUCAAUUGUUGAGGAUAAUGCAUAAUAUAUGUAAGGUGUGGGUUCAAAUCUCGGAUACUAUAAAAAAAUCAACUAUUAUAUAUUACUUGCUCUUUAUUUAUUUCUCACUCAAGAUGUAUAGAUUUAUACGAGUGUACAUCAAACAUAUUUUUGUUUUAUAUGGUGGUGAAAUAUUGGCUUUAUGAUCUUAUCGACCAAGUACCAACAAACUUUGAUGCGGCAGAAAAACUAGAUUUUACAAGUGAAAAUUUUUCCUACACACCCAAAUAUUAUAUUAUGCCUUAGCAUAGAUAGAAGCAAGAAAGGAGUGAUGCAUUCAUGUGAUCUGGGUAGGUGAUAGAGGGAUAGAGAGACUGGGUAUGUGAUCUGGAAGCUGAAUGAUAGAUCGGAUGUGGUUCAAUUUUGGUGUGGAUGAUCGGGUGUUUCAUUUAUACGGGUGUUCUUUUGGGGUGAGUGGUGGCAAUGGGUAGUUUAUGGAUAUUAUUUUUUCAAUGGUCGUUUUUUGAAGGAGUCUGUUUUAUGUGAUGAUGUUUAUUUUGGAGGGUGUUGUCCUCAUGGAUGUUAAAGAUAUGGAUUGGCUAGGUGUUGUGGGUAGUGGUGUCUUUAAUGGUGUUUAUUUUCAUGUGUUCCACCUAUAUACGCCAUCUUUUAGCUUGUAUUAUCUUAAUCAUCAGUCUCUUUUUGUCUUGAGCAGAGAUCUGGUUUUUAGAUAAAAUUUGCUGCUAAAAAAAGUAUAGGGAUAGAGAGAAAUAAUAUAAUGGAUGAUAGAUCGAUCUUGAUUUAUAUUCGAUAACUAAUAGUCAUGUCAAAAAGAGAUUGUUUCUCUGUUCCAAAUAGUUUUCUUCACAAACUUAAAGAUUCAAUCGUGAUCAUCUCACCUUAUCAAGCAAGCUCACAUAAAUCUUUCCUCAAAAGUGAAUUAUAUUUGGCCAAUAUCCCAAGCAAUAGCGGAGCCAAAAAAAAUAAAAAAUGGAUGGACCACUAAAAUGAAAUAUAAUAUAUAAACACAUAAUAUUGUACAAACAUUAAUUGUAAAUUUCAUUCACCGGUAAAGUAUAAGCGUGACAAAAAAUUUGCACACCGUUGUGUGAGGGUUCGAAAUUGCUGAAAACUACAACCGUUAUGAUAUUAUUUAAAAUCUCGUAAAAUUAAUCUAUGAUUAUUAAUUUUUUAAUUUUUCGGGUGGACCGUCUGCCCAUGAUGGAUUCCGGCAUUCAUCCCUGGUGAGGUAUUUGGUAAGAAGAAUUCCCUUCACAAUAUUUAGCUUCAACACUCCGUUCCAACAAGCUCUUUCUCCAUCUAGCAACCUCCAUCAUCAUUUGAAAAGAAGAGUCAAAUUAAAUAAUCUCAAAUCUUUAUGAGAACAAUUAUGAAAGUUACAAUUCAUACACUUUGUAAACAAGAUAAAUGACUAUUCAGGAAACAAAUGAUUUAAACAAACUUGGUCUUGAAGAAUCACUCAAUUUUCUCAAAGCUAUAAAAAGUAAAAUUCAACAUGUUCCUUUUUACAUAAAUACUUAUAUUAUUAUUUUGGGGAGAAAAUAUUAAAAACAAUUCGUAAAUCCAUGACUUUGGGGAGAAAAUGUUACAUGAACACCCUUUAAUCAUACACUCUAUUGUACAUCCCAUGCAUUAAGGAUAUUUUGGUAAAUUCAUUUCACAACCAUACUUUCUCUUUCAUCUCCUCUCCCUUUUCCUUGCCACAUGUCAGGAUUUUAUGUGGGUGUAAGAGGUGUAUUGUCACAUGGGGGUGUACAUGUAUCACCACUCUUUUAAUAUGGACCUCAAAAUGGUUCAAAGGUGGAUCUUCUAAUUCCAUUUUAAUUUAUUUACAAAAUUAACUAUUUUACUAAAAAUUAUGAGAGUUUGUCUUUUCAACUUUUUUUACAGUUAUUACUUUUUUUUAGGAACAAACCAAAAGUAAAACAAAUUGAAAUUGAGAAAUCUUAGACUUAUUUUUCUUCAAUUUAACAACAGAUCCAAAGAAAUGAUCUGUUGAAAAAAUUACAAUAUAGUCGUAGCUAUGCUUAAACAUAACCCCCAUAGUAUAACAUCAGGGUUAUGCAAAAAUUAUCUCAAACUUAUUCUAGGAACAGCUGCACUUACAGCAAAAACCUAAAUAACUUAGGAGCUGCAGAAAUAGAAAAAUUAAAAUAAACAUAGCUACGAUAAUUAAGAGCACCAUAUUAGGGAGCAAUCACUCAACUCAUUCACCCAUUGCUCAACAUCAUUUUCUAGUGAGGCCAUUUCAUUUUCUACCACCAUGACUUGGCUUCUAUUCUUGGCUAAUUUGUUAAGUAGGUCAACCAUGCUCCUCCUCUUCGAUCCUGGUGACGAUGACUCACAACUAUCUUCCGAUGAAGAAGAAGGCUCUGGUGAUUCCCGUUUCAAAGCCACCUUCCUCUUUGACUCCGACAUGUACACAUCAGAGCCAAUGAGGUGGGGAAAAUUAAGCUUGGCCUUUUGGCCACGCAUCUUGAAAGCAGCUUUAUCGUAAGCAAAACCUGCUUCCUCCUCAGUCACAUAAGUACCAAGCCAAACCCUAGCACCAUUCUUU
rnacentral:lncRNA from 1 species